AAAUCUUGCUGGAGGAGGAGAAGGAGGAGGAGGAAAGUGGAGAGAGAGAGAGAGAGAGAGAGAGAGAGAGAGAGAGAAAACUAGUGAAAAAAUCUUGCUGGAGGAGGAGAAGGAGGGAGAGAGAGGAGAAAGAUUAGAUUAAGGAAACACAGAGUAAGUUAACACCCACUCCACUACCACACUUACUAACACCCAUGUCACACCCUUCCUCUCGUCCAACACCCAUGUCACACCCUUCCUCUCGUCCAACACCCAUGUCACACCCUUCCUCUCGUCCAACACCCAUGUCACACCCUUCCUCUCGUCCCUGUUGGUACAGUACACCACCCAUGUCACACCCUUCCUAUCGUCCCUGUUGGUACAUUACACACUACCAUGGCUGGGCGUUAUCGCGAUACUUUAUCACUGAAAACAAAAUCGGGUUAUCGGCCAUCCGCUACUUAUUUAAAUAUAUAUCGGUAUAUUCAUUACUUUUGUAACCAAACUAGUGAUAAUCGAUACUUUUUACGCCCCUCAGAAAAAAAAGUCCUUCCUACACAUGGCCCAGGCGCCCGGUGUAGUUUGAAAAAACUUUGGGGUAUGAAAUAUCUUCGGUGAAGAGAUUUCAUACUUAGAUCCAACAUUAAAACACUAGGUUAUCUUUUUUAUGUUACUCAAAAAUCAAUAUAUCAGAGAAAAAUCAUUUAACUUUGCCCCCAAAAUGAUUGUUCACUGCCUCAAAUUUGAUAUUCCAUAUUCAUUUGUGAGCAUGCCAUGGUAUUGAAGGCACCCGGUGUUGUGUUAUUUGGUGUCCCAUCGUCAAAAACUGGCGCUUUUGUUUACAAACACUGGUCUCUCGUGAACUGCGCAUGUUCAGACCAGUAAGCGUAGCCCUGUACAGUCUCACAAAGCUUUUUAAGAGAGUUGCUGGAAGGCUGAAUCAGACAUACAGUACCACCAUCCUCGCUGUUUCUAGAACGACACUCUGUACAUAUAAAUACAACUCUUACAGAGUUUGUUAUCAUGCCCAGCUAUGACUACUACUAUUACACCCAGACUAUUGUCCAUCCCAGUGCCUCAAUCAGUGGUUAGACGAUGAUAUUAACCACCUACUUUUGCCUCUAAUAACUACUGACUUCUGCUGUUAAUAUGACGGUCUUGACAGCUCUCGGAGGGUCUUACAAUGCACAGGGCAGCUACAUGGCGCCUUUCUGAGCGAGUGAAGCAAUGCACCCCAGAUGUAUGCUCCCCAUGGGUUAGUAGUUAGUCAUAUACACCAUAGAAUAAUACAUAUACAUACCAUAUACACCCAUACAUACUCUCAGGGUGACAGAAUUAGUGUGCGUGUUUGUCGAAAUGAGUUUAUUCAAAGUAAGAAUCGCUAUCUACAGUAGAAAAAUAUGUAUCCAUAAUCUAUUCAAUCCAUUUAUACAGCAUACAAAUAUACAUAUACAUGCCCUAUACACUCAUACAUACACCCUACACA